UGCGUUAAUUGUCUAAAGCUUUUCGGUUCCCAUUGUACGUCUCUUCCUUCUUCGACUAUUCCUCACAGGUAUUACAACUUAGAGAGACCGAUGGUUUCUCUUGGAAGGAAACAUUUUGUCACUCCUUCUCUUCCAAACCUCCUGAAGAAUGAAACCAUCUGAGUGUAAUCGAAACCAUGGCAGUGUGUUCAACCAUCUAUAGAACAAACCCUACGCGUCAUCCUCCAACAACGGUGGCUUUAGGGUUCUGUCGCAAGUCAGGGUUAUUAGGAUUCGGGCAGAUGAAUCUUGUGGUUCACAUGUUUCACAUGUUUGAUUCAGGUCGAGUUGGAGUGACUUUACGGCGACAGAAACUAACAUGGCGUUGUGAAGAUUUCUGGCGAGACGAUUAGGGUUCCGACGAGCCCUUUCAGUGCAAGACUGCCAUCUCUGUCAAAAAGUUUUAUUGGUUACAAUGGCGUCAAAGUCAUUCUUUGUGUUUAAUCAGAGACAAGCAGAGAUAGAUGUCAGAGAUAGAUGUUAGAAGGAUUGAUGUUGGUGUUACUGACCGGAGUCAAUUUGGGUCCAUAGAAGCUUGCGGAAGCAUACACAGAACGUGCAUGUAUCAACCGUUGGCGUCGGUGUAAUGGGCUACAUAGGUAACAAGGGGUCCAUAUCAGUGAGUAUGUCUAUAUAUCAGACGAAUUUUUGUUUCAUAUGCACUCAUUUAACGUCUGGUGAGAGGGACAUUGAUAUUGUUAAAAGGAAUGCCGAUGUGGAUGAAAUAUAUAAAAGAACGCGUUUUAAUUCACUGUCAAAUGCUGCAGUUCCGAGGAGCAUUAAGGAUCACGAGAAAGUACAGGAUUUAGAUAUGUGGUUUGUUUUCUCUAUUAUUGCUUAUUUCAUGUGUAAAGCUUACAAAUUGAUUUUGUAAUUUUUAGACUAAUUAUAUGGCUGGGUGAUCUUAAUUACCGCUUUAAUUUGUCGUACGAGGAAACACGCGAUUUGAUUUCCAAAAGUGCAUGGUCCAAGUUGCUAGAGAGUGAUCAACUAAGACCAGGAGUUGCGUUUGACGGGUCGACAGAAGGCGCAUUAAAUUUUCCACCGACUUACAAAUACGAGCCGAAUUCAGAUAAAUAUUAUGGCGAGGAUCCUAGAGUUGAAAGGCGUACGCCCGCAUGGUGUGACCUAUACUUUCAUAUGGGAAGGGGAUGCAGCAACUGAGCUACAAACGGGUUGAGAUUAAACAGGCUUCUGGUGGGUGUGAUAACACAGUUAAAGUAUGGAAACUGUGUAACGGGAUCUGGAAAAUGGACUGUAUUCCUGCCUUACAAAUGCACACUGAUUGGGUCUGUGUUGUUGUAUGGGCCCUGAACCUUGGAAGCGCUUCUGUGGAUGAUACUGUUCUGAUAUGGACUAUUAAAAAAGAAGGUGACAAUUGGAAUGGUAAGGUGUUGUAUGACUUCAAGGUUCCUGUUUGGAGGGUAUAUUGGUCUUUAACAGGAAACCUUUUGGCGGUUGCUGCUGGCGAUAAUAGUGUUACAUUUGCAUCCUAAGGUUUGCAUCUGGGUGCUUCUAGAGGUUCCGGGACUACUUUUUUUGUCAACGUAUACUCUCCUUGUCCGAUACUGGGCUGAGAUAUAUCAUCAGGCAUGU